CCUACGGGAGGCUGCAGUGGGGAAUAUUGGACAAUGGGGGGAACCCUGAUCCAGCCAUGCCGCGUGUGUGAAGAAGGCCCUCGGGUUGUAAAGCACUUUCAGUGAGGAAGAACGCCUGGUGGUUAAUACCCAUCAGGAAAGACAUCACUCACAGAAGAAGCACCGGCUAACUCCGUGCCAGCAGCCGCGGUAAUACGGGGGGUGCGAGCGUUAAUCGGAAUUACUGGGCGUAAAGCGCGCGUAGGUGGCUUGAUAAGCCGGUUGUGAAAGCCCCGGGCUCAACCUGGGAACGGCAUCCGGAACUGUCAAGCUAGAGUGCAGGAGAGGAAGGUAGAAUUCCCGGUGUAGCGGUGAAAUGCGUAGAGAUCGGGAGGAAUACCAGUGGCGAAGGCGGCCUUCUGGACUGACACUGACACUGAGGUGCGAAAGCGUGGGUAGCAAACAGGAUUAGAUACCCCAGUAGUC
rnacentral:rRNA from 1 species